rnacentral:misc_RNA from 1 species
ACAAACUUGGUCAUUUAGAGGAAGUAAAAGUCGUAACAAGGUCUCCGUUGGUGAACCAGCGGAGGGAUCAUUACCGAGUUAUUCAACUCCCAAAACCCCUGUGAACUUACCUAUAUCGUUGCUUCGGCGGGAACAGACGGCCCCGUAACACGGGCCGCCCCCGCCAGAGGACCCCCUAACUCUUGUUAUUAUAUGUUUCUCUGAGUAAAACAAGCAAAUAAAUUAAAACUUUCAACAACGGAUCUCUUGGCUCUGGCAUCGAUGAAGAACGCAGC